rnacentral:lncRNA from 1 species
UUCUGAGGUUACAGACUGUUCAAAGGCUAAGGUGGUUCUUGGAACACAUCUUCAAGUGGCAUCUUCUUCCAGAAGUGCUUAUAAUUUUUUAAUGAUUUUCUGUUUAAGUCCUGAGCACAAGGUUAUCUGACAGCUGUGAGUCCUUAUGUGAUGUUCAGGUAUAUCCCUUUCAAAAAAAGAGAGCAAUAUUUUUAUAGAAGUAUGUUUGUUGACUAAAAGUCUUCUUUGGAUGGAUGAAACAGGUAUCACAAGAUUCUUCUUCAGAGUGAAUGGGAUGGCAUCUGAGGAUGCUUGAUUUGUGUGCAGGUGUGUUUCAGAUAGUUGCAGAUUUAUGGAGUUAAAUUUGUUAAUCUUUGGGUUUGUAUGCAUUUUAGUUUAUAGAUUACCAUCUUUGACGUUGACCUUAAUAUCUAGGAAUGGGUCUUAGUAUAUGACUCUUUCAGAGGCACGUUGACAAAAGAGUCAUAAUUAUUGAAUUUGUGAUUGCAGUUAGUGAGGAAGUCCAGUUUUCUGUUCACGGUGAUGAAGAUGUUACUCAUACGUCUUAUGACAUAUGGACCUGGUGGUACAUACCUAGUGGGAAGAUACGUUGGAUGGGUGUGAUUUACUUCAUAGAAUCUGCACCAAAUCUUUGAGUGCCUCAUGGAGCUUAAAAACAUGUAUUAAAAUUCUACAAAUUAACUUGCUUAUCCGGGAUUACCAGUGAUGUGCUCACAUAUGUUGUAGAGAACCAUAAACUCUGCAGUCCUUGGAAGCUAAUCCUCAAAGCUGAUUUUUUUCUUAUUUCUUCAUAAAACAAAAUUAAGUGUAAGUUUAUAUACUUUUUAACUGUUGGCAGACAUGUUUCAUUGCUGUUAUAUUUGUGAUGCAGAAUAAUUAAGAGUUUUAAAUUUCCAAGUGUGCCAAAUUGGAUCUUCAUCUAAGACCACACAUGUACGCAGUAUAAGAGGUUCAUAGGAUAAUUAACUAGAUGUUUGUUUCUCUCCUUGAUGACUAAGGUCAUCUUCUUAUAAACCCAAGAACAAUGAAUAGAUAUAACAAGAGGAUCUCACCAUAAGCACUUUUUUUUCAAGUCUCCAGCACUGAAUUCUGUCUGGCACGGUUGUCAGCAGCAUGUUCCAGAUUCUGUCUUUUGCCAUAAACUGCUUUGUAAGCACAAUGGAAAUAGCAUAGAAACGUAAGAAUUAGGAAAUUGUGUUAUUAACAAGCUGCAUUUUUA